GAGCCACCCGGGCGCCCCUGGUUAACUAUCAAAGAAUGCUGCACACGCUUGGCCUUGAGGGCUCAUCACCUGUGCCUCCUCUCUUCACUCUGCAGGGCUCCUCCUCCCCGCCCCCACCCUGGCCCUCCCCACCCCCCCUACAUUCUUACGCCCCAUUCCAGUUGUCUGUGGCCAAGCCCAUGACCUUGAGGCCUGCUCUGUGAGAUGCGAAUCCCCAAAAAGUCUCUCCCAAAGGGAAGGCCUCUGUCCGGGUCCGGGCUGGACACCUGCGUCCUCAGUCGGUGGCAGGUGGGACUCCCCAGAUCAGCCCAGCCCGGCGCCGCCAGCACCAAGCUCCGGACAAGGCGCGGCGCCGGCGCCACCCAGUGGGCGCAGCGGGAACUGCACGCCCCGCCCCCCCCCCCCCCCCCCCCCCCCCCCCCCCCGGCGGGCCGUGCACCCAGACAAUUAAGAGCGAUGCCUGGCGCCGAGCAUGCUCGGUAUAAGGUUGCGAUCAUUCUGUGCCAAGAACGAAUCCACUUUUCGCAAAAGAAGAAACCGCAAUGGUAGUGAUGCCCACAGGGCCGACGAAGACGAGCUUCCAGGUGUUCCCUCCUGGCCCCGGCACCUGCGGGCUCCGACCUGUGAGGGAGAAGGGACAGCAACAGAAGAGAAUGGAUUCACAGCUCUGGCAGCGGCGCCAAGAGACCACCGUGCGGGCCGCAGUCUCAGCAGUGAUGUGGCCGUGGCUCGCCUUGGGGCCUGCCGGUGUCCCCAGCGUGGUUCCCGGCCUCCCACUGACAGUGUUUGCGAGGGUCUUCACGUCCUCUCGGUCUGGCUGCCCCUGGAGUCCGUACAGAACCGAACGCCUUUUAACUGAGGAGAAGCAAUUCUGACCUCACUGUCGUCAUCAUCAUGAGUUUUCAUUUUAAAAAGUAACUCCCUCCUCAGGGGCACCUGGGUGGCUCAGUGGUUCAGAAUCUGCCUUCAGCCCAGGGCGUGAUCCUGGAGUCCCAGGAUCGAGUCCCACAUCGGGCUCCCUGCAUGGAGCCUGCUUCUGCCUCUGCCUGUGUCUCUGCCUCACUCUGUGUGUGUCUCUCAUGAAUAAAUAAAAUCUUAAAAAAAAUUAACUCCUUUACAUAUACUCUCAUUUCCCUCCCACCAUACCCCCUAUUAAUUAGCAUUUUCAUUGCUCCAUCCCAGAGUCUCAGAGAGGAGGGAAGUGACUGACCUGCGGCCACACCACUGAUUCCUACCCAGGUCCAGUGGACCCCGAGAGCUGUGCUCCUCCUUCCUCAUCCUGUCACCCUUGGGAGUGGAGGGGGUCCCAGAGAGCCACAGGGCAAAGGGAGCAAGGGGAACUGGGCCGAGGUCGGACAGCUGGGGUCUGCUCCUGGCUUGGUUACACACUGACUGUAUGUUCAAGGGGGGGCGCCCUCGCUGCACCCCUCUGGGCCUGAGAGUCCCCUCAGUAAGUGGAAGAGACUGGCUCGGAUGAUCUCUGAUUCCUUCUAACAUUGGGGAGCCUGAUUCAACACUAAUGGGGAGCUGCUCUACUCUGACAGCAAUAGGGCACCACAGGCCCAGAGUCUGGGGACUGUCACAAAGCUAAGGCAGGAGCCAGCAGGGCCCGGGCCUAGAAAGUGGCUCUGGCGCCCUCCUCGGGAACCACGCAGCUCUCCACUUCUCUCAGCUUCUCUGCUUCUUUCUUCUUUCUCUGCAAAUUGGUUUAAAAAAAAAAAAAAGAUUUUAUUUAUUUAUUCACGAGAA
rnacentral:lncRNA from 1 species